AGAUACCCCGGGUAGUCCACGCCGUAAACGAUGGAUACUAGCUGUNGGAGGUAUCGACCCCUUCAGUAGCGAAGCUAACGCGUUAAGUAUCCCGCCUGUGGAGUACGGCCGCAAGGCUAAAACAUAAAGGAAUUGACGGGGACCCGCACAAGCGGUGGAUUAUGUUCUUUAAUUCGAUGAUAACCGAAGAACCUUACCAGGGCUUGACAUCCAGGGAAGGUCUGCGAAAGUAGACUGUGCCUUUUGGAACCCUGUGACAGGUGAUGCAUGGCCGUCGUCAGCUCGUGUCGUGGGAUGUUAGGUUAAGUCCUUCAACGAGCGCAACCCUUGUGAAUAGUUGUAUUUUUCUAUUCAGACUGCCCCGGUAACGGGGAGGAAGGAGGGGAUGAUGUCAGGUCAGUAUUUCCCUUACGUCCUGGGCUAGAAACGUAAUACAAUGGCUAGUACAAUGCGCANGCGAAGCCGCGAGGUGAAGCAAAUCGCAUCAAAGCUAGUCCCAGUUCGGAUUGUAGGCUGAAACUCGCCUGCAUGAAGUCGGAAUCGCUAGUAAUCGCAAAUCAGCAAGUUGCGGUGAAUACGUUCCCGGGUCUUGUACACACCNGCCCGUCAAACCAUGAAAGUGACCAACACCCGAAGUCCGAUUCGUCGGCCUAAGGUGGGGGGCAUGAUUGGGGUU
rnacentral:rRNA from 1 species